CGCGGCGUGCUAUACUGCAGUCGAGCGGACAGAAGGGAAGCUGCUCCCGGAUGUAGCGGCGGACGGGUGAGUAACACGUGGGUAACUGCUGUAAGACUGGGAUAACUCCGGGAAACCGGAGCUAAUACCGGAUAGUUCCUGAACCGCAUGGUUCAAGGAUGAAAGACGGUUUCGGCUGUCACUUACAGAUGGACCGCGGCGCAUAGCUAGUUGGUGAGGUAACGGCUCACCAAGGCGACGAUGCGUAGCCGACCUGAGAGGGUGAUCGGCCACACUGGGACUGAGACACGGCCCAGACUCCUACGGGAGGCAGCAGUAGGGAAUCUUCCGCAAUGGACGAAAGUCUGACGGAGCAACGCCGCGUGAGUGAUGAAGGUUUUCGGAUCGUAAAGCUCUGUUGUUAGGGAAGAACAAGUGCAAGAGUAACUGCUUGCACCUUGACGGUACCUAACCAGAAAGCCACGGCUAACUACGUGCCAGCAGCCGCGGUAAUACGUAGGUGGCAAGCGUUGUCCGGAAUUAUUGGGCGUAAAGGGCUCGCAGGCGGUUUCUUAAGUCUGAUGUGAAAGCCCCCGGCUCAACCGGGGAGGGUCAUUGGAAACUGGGAAACUUGAGUGCAGAAGAGGAGAGUGGAAUUCCACGUGUAGCGGUGAAAUGCGUAGAGAUGUGGAGGAACACCAGUGGCGAAGGCGACUCUCUGGUCUGUAACUGACGCUGAGGAGCGAAAGCGUGGGGAGCGAACAGGAUUAGAUACCCUGGUAGUCCACGCCGUAAACGAUGAGUGCUAAGUGUUAGGGGGUUUCCGCCCCUUAGUGCUGCAGCUAACGCAUUAAGCACUCCGCCUGGGGAGUACGGUCGCAAGACUGAAACUCAAAGGAAUUGACGGGGGCCCGCACAAGCGGUGGAGCAUGUGGUUUAAUUCGAAGCAACGCGAAGAACCUUACCAGGUCUUGACAUCCUCUGACAACCCUAGAGAUAGGGCUUUCCCUUCGGGGACAGAGUGACAGGUG
rnacentral:rRNA from 1 species